GAAGAGCGCUCAUUGGCUUUUGUAGGAUGAUCAUUGGCGCGUGCUUAUCCAAUGAACAUCUCACAAAACCUCAGUGGGCGGUCCU
rnacentral:pre_miRNA from 1 species